AGCAGUCGCCACGGUAAUACGGAGGGGGCUAGCGUUGUUCGGAAUUACUGGGCGUAAAGCGCACGUAGGCGGCUUGGUAAGUUAGAGGUGAAAGCCUGGAGCUCAACUCCAGAAUUGCCUUUAAGACUGCCGAGCUAGCAGGUGAGAGAGGUAAGUGGAAUUCCGAGUGUAGAGGUGAAAUUCGUAGGUAUUCGGAAGAACACCAGUGGCGAAGGCGGCUUACUGGCUCAUACUGGACGCUGAGGUGCGAAAGCGUGGGGAGCAAACAGGAUUAGAUACCCGAGUAGUCCCUGUCUCUUAUAC
rnacentral:rRNA from 1 species